rnacentral:lncRNA from 1 species
CUCCAGCGACCUGCAGAAUCCCCUCGCCGCGUCGGCCGAAAUCGGCAUCGAGGGUAUUUUCGAAAUCUCAUCACAAAGUCGCCUGCCUCCCACCCCUAAUCUCUCUCCUCCCUCAGCCCGGCCCACCCGGGAUCAGUGGGUCCCCCAACCCCGAAUCACGUCCCCCUCUCCACCCCGUCACCAAAACCCUCCGCCAACCUCCGUGUACACAGACAGCGCCGCCCCCUUCUCCGCGGCCCCCUCUACCACCGAGUUUCUCGACAGUGCAGCCCCCCGCUCGCACCGCACGCAGCCGGCGACUCUUAUUACCCGAGCCGCCAGCUGGCGGUAGGGCCUCGUCCUUCCCAUAGUUCACGAACACCGCCCUCCAGUACGUCGCCCCGCCGGCGAGUACGCGUGGUCGGCGCACGACGUUUUUUCCACUGGCGCCGGAUUCGCCAAUAAAAGUCCGAGGCGGUGCCGUUGCCUAAAGUGUGCCGACAGGGCGGACGCGCAGAUAAAGAGAGGAGGCCUUGUAGGAAUUGUGUGUGUGUCGAGGCCUAGGGUUUGGAAGUGGGAUGGACGUAGGCGGAGGUAUGGGCGGGUGGGGGAGGAAGGGGGGCCGGUGCGUGCCGGCGAGGUGGGGGUGGCGGUGAGGAGCGGAGGGUAGGAGGAGAGCGUGUAGUUGGUCGCGGAGGAGAGGAAAAGGUGGCGGAAGAGGAGGGCAUUUGGAGUGGGGAUGGGCGGUGAGGGUGGUGGAGGGUGAGAGUCCCAAGAGGAAGAGGAGGGUACGAAGAGGAGGGGGCAUAAGGGUGGUGUGUGGAGAUGAGGAUGGAAGGGGGUUUGGAAGCGAUGACGAGAGAGGUUGAGCCAUUUAGAGCGCGAGAGGGGGUUUGACGGGGUUAGCAAAUGGAAUGCAUAUGUAUGUGGCAAGAGAGAGAAGACGAAGAUAGUUUCAACUUUCAAGCCUCUCAGUGAUCAGUUGAGCCGAUGCGGCGUUUUUUAGUAUUUAUUUUGAAAAUUCGAUUAAUUAUGUGCAUAUUUUUAAAAUAAUUUAAAUAAAUUUUUUUUGAAAGGAGCGGAGACAAACUCCGAAUACUAUUGAUUUUUUUUCUAAUUAGUAAAAAUAAAAAAAUAAACUAGAAAUUAGAGCAUCUCCCGCAGUCUCUUUCAUUUGCUUUCUUAUUUUAACCAACUAUACUUGUCUAUUUUUAUUUUAUUGUACUUCAUCCGCCUAAAUAGAAAAAAACCCUACAUGGACAGUAUCUUCCGUAUCUCUUAGCGUAUUGGGGGUGAGAUUUUUUUGAAUUUUUUUAGAUACUGUAAUUUUAAGGGUUUUUUGUUAUUAAAACUUUUUUAUGGAUAAUUAAAAUUUUAUGUAUAAUUUUUUAUUAUUUUUUAAGAGCUGGAGUCUAAAAUGUAAAAGAAUUCAUCAAAUUUUUUUUUAAAAAAACUAAAGACAAAAAAACCAUAAAAAAAAAGUUUAUCUUAAAAGUGAUGGUUUUAGCUUUUAAUACACUUUUUUCAGAUUAGAUAAAAAAAAUUAUCAAUUUUAGACUCUUUUCAUCAAAAGAAAUUCAAAAAGUAUAAAAUUUUGAUCAUGCAAAAAAAAAAUCAUUAAAAAAAAAAAGCGAAAACCAAAGCAAUUAAAAUAAUUCAAUUAAAACUUAAACUAUAAAACUUCAUUUCCACCUCUCUUUUCUCGAUUUUACUCUCAAUUUUACACCUACUAAGAUAACUUAUUAUUCUCUUUUAUCAAGUAUUUUUUUUGCUUUUGUACAUUCUUUCAAAUUAGAUAAAAAAUAAUAUUUGUUGAGGUAAAAAAACUAGGACGAACAACAACAGCAGAAUUGAUCAAGGCGGCGACCUCGGUACCUGACAGGCGAGAAAAAACAUUAAUGAGGGGUGAAAGUCAGUCACACACACAUCGGCUAGCAAUGCGAUCGUACGAGAUAGAUCUACUAGACCAAAACACAGCAGAGAAAGUAGAUAGCAAUAUCUAGAUUUGCGAUGGCAUCCCCUCUUUUGGGAGAAGUAUGGAGUAAUUUUAUAGAUGAAGAUUUUGUGGAAAACGAUGUGGUUUUUCCUUCAUAUAAACAGAAAGUUUCAAAUAAAGAAUUGUAGAAUUCUUUAAAAACACAUAAAAAGAAGAAGAAAGAACAUAACGUAAAUAAUGCAACUUACAGAAUUAAUACGGAAAAAGAAUUUGAUAGGCUGAGGCCUGAAUUAAUUUCAGUGUCCUUAAGUCGUUGAAGACCCGCACUUGGUCUCAAGGAAUAUGCCGUACGACUCCCAUGGAUACAGCAGCUUCGAUCUUCGGAUAGUAGUACUCCAAUGCAGAAGAUCACGGCGGACAUUUCAAGUGUUUUCUUCUCUCUAAAAAAUGUAUAACAAGGCAGAAUGAUGUUUGCACAACAUUCAAUCUCUAUUUUUUAAUCAUCUUAAAAAUAAUGAAUGAUCAUGAGUUUAAAUAGAAGUUAUUGCCAACUCUUAGAAGAGCAGGUACCUUUUGAUGUCACACCUCUAGAAGAGGCAAAUAAGAUCAUCAUACAGAAGCACCAUUUGGCAUAUUCUUAAAUAUUGUGACCAUUGCAUAAGGAAAGAAAAAUUCAGCGAAAGAAAGUAAUUUCAUUUUGAUAAUUGAGAAACAAUUUCCAUUCAAAUUGACCACCCAAAUUCUAACAAUCCCCCACAUGAAUAGAUUGAUUGGGUUACAGAUGCAAUGAAAUGGGCACAUCCAUAGAGAGAGAGAAAUAGACGAAUUAUCGCACAGGAGAGGUAGCUUUCGGCCUUGAAACCUUCCUUAGUGACAUACUACGGAUUACUCGCCAAACAGUGGAACUGGCCGCCCUUGAACUGCCAGCUUGAGUGUAAAACCAAAGUACAAACAAUCUGCACACGAUACCCUCUGAACACUUUUGUUUCUCAUGGUGUUUCAUUUUGGCCCUGAACAACACCUGGAUUUCAGAGGCUCUAGACAAUUCAGCCAAAAUUCUCAUAGGAACGGCCCCAAUCCCCACUCACAUAGGUGACAUCUGUUAAGAGUACUCUGCCAUACCCCACUUAAAUAUUUUAAGAUACAAGUGUCAUUAAAAGUUAUACUUAGCCUAAUUGCUCAUACAGACAGCACUGUGUUACUCUAGGAACAGGUAGGUCAAAAGAAGGUUUUACUCUUUUCGAACAAUAUGCUUAUACCACUGAGUAAACCCAUUGUUUAAGUUGUUCCCUUUGAAACCUAGAUCUGGGAUCUCCAGUCCAACUAGGUUGGGUUCAAAUAUGGCACUCUUGACUAGAGCUUAAUCCAAUUCCCCUCGAAGAUUGAUAAACUUGCCUCUAGAAUAACCUUUUGUAAGGGAUUCGCAAUGUUAUCCUAGAGUUACAUAAUCUCUAGAAAGAACACCAUUAGAGAGAAGUUGUUUAAUGGAUUGUGUUGGUUUUUUUUUUUUUUUUUUUUUUUUUCUCUACGACGAAUAUGUCUAUUCGACUUACCAGUAUACAAAUUACUUGUGCCCUUGCAAUUGCUGAUGGAACAUUCACAGUGUAUAUACACACAGCAGACACAGGUUUGACCAUUGGAAUAUCCCUAAAAAUGUCUAAUCCAUUCAGCCUCUUCUCCGGCUUUGUAUAGAGCAAUAAAACUACAUUCCAUGAGUAGAUAUGGCAAUGCAUUUUGUUAGAGGAUUUUCAGGAUAAUGCAGACUCCACUUAGUGAAGACAUAACCACUUGUGGAUUAGAGUCUUUAGAGUCUGAGAUCCAAUUUGCAUACAAUAUCCAUCAAGUACUGGCAGGAUAUCCAGAAUAAAUAAUCCAUAGUUUUGUGUAUAUCUAAGAUACUUAAAACUCGAAUUAUUGUCUUUCGAUUGAUUAUCUUAGGAUUACUAGUAAUCUACUCAAUUUAUUAACCGCAUAAGCAAUAUCAGGUAUUGACAUUCAUUAAGUACAUUAGAAUGUCUAUAUCCUUGAGUAUAACAAUUAAGAUACGUUUCUCUAGUAUUCUUUGUUAGAUGUAAAGUACAUCUACGGAGAUGUUGCUUUUCCUUCCCCCCCUUUUUUCACAUAUCCUUGUCAAAUCCUCUAAAAUUUUAUUCACAUGAAGGUGAUUGUGACAAGAAUAUCCCUGCAGGGGUUCUUUCGAUUUUAAUUCCCAGAAUUACAUCUACAACACCAAGAUCUUUCAUGUCAAUUUUGACAUUAAAAGAUUUUAGUAGAUGGAUCAUGUAAUUAUUACUUCAAAUUAAUUAAACAUAUCACCACAUACAAAACAAUAAUGGCAUAUCCUUUUCAGUAUUUUUGACAUACAUGCAUUUGUCACAUUCAUUGAUUUGAAAUCAUUUGAAAUCAGGACAUUGUCAAAUUUUUCGGGCCAUUUAUUUAGGUGCUUGUUUUAAUCCAUACCCCCAGGGGAUUUUACCAGUUACACACAUUGUUCAUUUUCAGGAGCUGUGAAAACCCUGGGUUGCUCCAUAUAAAUUUCUUCUUCCAAUUUCCAUUUAGGACGGCGUCUUUACAUCCAUUGAUGAAGUUUCAAUUUGUUUAUAGCAGAGCAAAUGCAUUAACAGUCUAAUGGAUGUAAUUCUUGUAAACAGGAGAGUAAGUAUCGAAAUAACGAGUCCCUCCUUUUGUCUAUAGCCUUGCAAUACAAGUCUCAGCCUUGUAUUUAUCUAUAGACUCAUUAGAUUUAAUUCCGUGUGAAAAUCCCACUUAAUCCAGUGGUUUAUUCCAGGAAGAAGAUCCACCAAUUCCCAAAUGUUUAAUUUUGGAGAAUUGAUCUAUGUACUGUUUACCGUUUUUUCCAUUGAGGCACCUCUGGACAAAGGACAUCGCUUCUUUAAAGCUUGCGGCUCACUUUCCAUAAGAUAAGUUAUGAAUCUGGACCAAAGGACUAGUAAUUUUGGCUCUUUACUUUGUCUUAUUAUUUCCUCUUUACCGGUGAUGUGUUUGAUUCAUCUAUCUCCCAUGAGAUCUUUUUGAUGAAUUCAUUUCUAGUACUUCUUUGUAAAGGGAAUACAUUCUCAAAAAAUAUCAUUUCUUGACUCUAUGAUAGUUUUCUCAUGUAUAUCAUAAUUUCAGAUUUGUACUAAAAAUCUAUAUGCACUACUAUUGUGUGCAUAUACCAAUAAAUUACCACAAAUUGUCCACCAUUUAGGACCAAUCCAAUUUUUCUUAGAGCAGGUACAAUUAACAUUAGCAAGGAACCCCCACAAUUUGAAAGUAUUUGAAGGAAGGCUCUAUUCCUUUCCAUAACUCAUAGGGAGUCUAUCCAAUUGUUUAUGGGGUAAUCUAUUAAUAUGUGGCGGUUAAAGACCGAGCUCCACCACAAGUUCGUGGGAAAAUCAGAAUUUAUCAAUAAAAAAUUCUCAUUCUUUAAAGUUCUAAUUUUUCUUUCGGCAAUUCCAUUGAUUGAGGAGAGGUAUGCAGUGGUUGGUGAUAAUACCAUUUUCUGUAAAAAUCUUUAAUGGUGACUCAAUUCACCACCUCUAUAUUUUAAAGAACUUUAAUCUUUUACUUAAUUGAUUUUAGUUCGCUUUUGAAAAUUUAAUUUUUCAAUAGUCUCUCUUUACUUUCAGUAAGUAAAGAUACAAAAAUCUAGUACAAUCAUCAUAAAAGGUAAAAAUAACUUUUACCGCCUCUUGUUGGUACUAAUUUUAAAUACCACAUCGUGUGGAUUAAAUCCAAAGGUUCUGUCGACCUUUCAUAGAAAGAAAAGAAGGGUUAUAUAAUUCGCUUUUACACAUGUGACAAUUAUCACUUUUAUCAAAAAUUCAAUUUUGACAAAUUUAAUUCAUAUAUAAUGUCAAUUUUAUUUGACUAUAAAUAUCAGUCACAUAUUUUAUCUAAUAACAUAAUCAAAUCAUGCUUUCAAUAAAAUCUCAUGCAAUUACUUGAGACAUGAUUAAAAUCGAUAAAUGACUUAUAAAUGGAUAUUUCUUUGCCACAUUGAAAUCCAAAUUCAUGAAAAUUACUUGUAUUUAUAAUGACAAUAAAUAUUCAAGAUAUUAGAAACUAGAUUUUUCCACAUGCUAAUUUCCAAUUUCUUUCUCUCAAUACUAUUUGGAUUUAUAAUUGCAAGCACAUGACAAAUAGAAUCGUUUUUCAAAAACCUUCAUGUAAGCCAAAUCGUGUUUGGGCCUCUCCCCAAUUUACAAGUUUUGGCCACAUGCACUUCUUUCAACCUUGUUCUCAGCGACUCACAAACCAAUUGUUGCCAUUAUUAAAAAAAAAACGUGGUUCACUUUCUGUGUAAACAAGAGCCAGUGUAUAAACAGGACCCUCACAACUCUUGUGUUUUUCACACCCUUUGGCUUUUGUAUUAAACCAACCAUCACAAUUCCUUGGAUUUAAUAACCCAAAAUCACAUUUGUAGUUGAAAACAAGAACUACCGCCACCAUCAAAAGUGAUAACUUUCAUUCUCAACUAUGAUUUUCUAUGCUUAGUGAUAAACUGUAUAUUAUUGUCUAGGAUAUCCGUUGUAGCAUAGAAUCAAAUGCGGUAUACAAAAGAAAACAAAUUACAGGUUGGUACGAACAACAUAAUUUUCAAAUAGUGCGGAACCAUAAUUUGUCCAUAUAUUUCUUGAUGAUAAACCCUAUUACCAAUAACAAUAAAUUAUAAGUUUGAUUUUUCCCACAACAAUACAUCAAACCCAUUAUAUCAUUCACAAACAGUCACUUAUCGGGUUCGUGGCUGAGUUCUAACAUUGUGAAAUUUUGAUGUAUUCCGCUGGCAUCAAUUAACCAUGGCCACAUACCAACUGUCCAUUUUAUUAAAAAAUUAAUUGUGAUUAGUACAAACGUUGCAUAUAAAAAACCAAAAGUCACAUUCUUAAUUUAAACCACCCAAUGGUCACACAUUUUGGUUUAAAUUUGUAAACUAUCAAUUAACUACUUUCAACUACCAAUUUAAAAUUGCGUCAUAUGAUAGUAAUUAUUGAUCUAACAGUGUAGAUCAAGCUAUCUCACAUUUUGAGAUAUAUUUUCAUCCGUAUAAAAAUAUUAUUCAAAAAAUAAAAUAUAAAAAUUUAAUCUAUCCAUGCAUUGACAUACAUAAAAUUUACUAAUUUCAAAACAUGAUUAAAAAUGUCAGGACUAUCGCAAUCAGUGUCAGAAUUUUUAUUUAAAUGGUAUCAAGCACAAACAUGCACAAUUCUCAAUGGACCCAAGUUAUCCAAUAAUAUACAGAUGAUAUAAGUUACAUGCUUUAUUCUUCCUUUGUUUUCAAUUAACUAAUCUUGCAAUAGAUUCACAGGAUUAUGUAACACUCCUACAUUUAUACUCAUAUCAAACUAUGUUCAAAAUUGCAUUAAUUGAACAAGUACUCACAAUAUGUUAAAAAAAAAAUGCUCAACAAAUUUCAAAUCAACCCCUGCCCACCAUUUCUAGAAAAAUAGAAAACAAUUCAAAUGUUUUCUUAGAUAACGGUCAAAGGAGUUAAUUGCAGGAUUUCGUGAAACAAGGCGUCACUCCGCCUAUCCAAAAUGAUAACUAAUUGAUUUAUCCACUGUAAGUCAAUCAUGAAUUCU